CAGUAGCCGCGGGAAUACAGAGGGUGCGAGCGUUAAUCGGAUUUACUGGGCGUAAAGCGUGCGUAGGCGGCUUCUUAAGUCGGAUGUGAAAUCCCUGAGCUUAACUUAGGAAUUGCAUUCGAUACUGGGAAGCUAGAGUAUGGGAGAGGAUGGUAGAAUUCCAGGUGUAGCGGUGAAAUGCGUAGAGAUCUGGAGGAAUACCGAUGGCGAAGGCAGCCAUCUGGCCUAAUACUGACGCUGAGGUACGAAAGCAUGGGGAGCAAACAGGAUUAGAUACCCGUGUAGUCCCUGUCUCUUAUAU
rnacentral:rRNA from 1 species